GUACUCCGGGGAUAACAGGCUGAUACCGCCCAAGAGUUCAUAUCGACGGCGGUGUUUGGCACCUCGAUGUCGGCUCAUCACAUCCUGGGGCUGAAGUAGGUCCCAAGGGUAUGGCUGUUCGCCAUUUAAAGUGGUACGCGAGCUGGGUUUAGAACGUCGUGAGACAGUUCGGUCCCUAUCUGCCGUGGGCGCUGGAGAACUGAGGGGGGCUGCUCCUAGUACGAGAGGACCGGAGUGGACGCAUCACUGGUGUUCGGGUUGUCAUGCCAAUGGCACUGCCCGGUAGCUAAAUGCGGAAGAGAUAAGUGCUGAAAGCAUCUAAGCACGAAACUUGCCCCG
rnacentral:rRNA from 1 species